AUAUUGCACAAUGGGGGAAACCCUGAUGCAGCGACGCCGCGUGAGUGAAGAAGUAUUUCGGUAUGUAAAGCUCUAUCAGCAGGGAAGAUAAUGACGGUACCUGACCAAGAAGCCCCGGCUACCUACGUGCCAGCAGCCGCGGUAAUACGUAGGGUGCAAGCGUUAUCCGGAUUUACUGGGUUGAAAGGGAGCGUAGGUCGUUCGGUAAGUCAGAUGUGAAAGACCGGGGCUGAACCCCGGGAAUGCAUUUGAAACUAUCGAACUAGAGUGUAGGAGAGGUUAGUGGAAAUCCUAGUGUAGCGGUGAAAUGCGUAGAUAUUAGGAGGAACACCAGUGGCGAAGGCGGCUUACUGGACUAUAACUGACACUGAGGCUCGAAAGCGUGGGGAGCAAACAGG
rnacentral:rRNA from 1 species